rnacentral:rRNA from 1 species
UACAGAGGGGGCAAGCGUUGUUCGGAAUUACUGGGCGUAAAGGGCGCGUAGGCGGCCAUCUAAGUCAGACGUGAAAUCCCUCAGCUUAACUGGGGAACUGCGUCUGAGACUGGAUGGCUUGAGUGCAGGAGAGGAACGCGGAAUUCCAGGUGUAGCGGUGAAAUGCGUAGAUAUCUGGAGGAACACCGGUGGCGAAGGCGGCGUUCUGGACUGCUACUGACACUGAGGAACGAAAGCCAGGGGAGCAAACGGG